AUGCUACAAAUAAAAGAACUGCAUUUGGCAGUUUUUUUCUACGAAAAUUUUAAAGAGGAAAGGAGGUACAAAUCUGGCCAUUUUAGCAUAAUUAUUUCCAUUUUUAAUAUUAGCAUGAUUCUUUAUUACAAAUUAACUUUAUUAAAUUAUACCAUUUUUCUAAUGCCAUGUCUAGCAAAUUUCUGUGUUAACCAUUUUUUAAAUUUACUGAGGAAUAAUGUGUUUGUCUUAAAAAAGGGCCACACCCAUGGCAGAUGGAGGUUCCCAGGCUAGGGGUCGAACCGGAGCUAUAGCUGCUGGCCUACACCACAGCAACACCAGAUCUGAGCCACAUCUAUGACCUACAUGAGAGCUGACAGCAACGCCAGAUCUUUAACCCACUGAGCAAGGCCAGGGGUCAAACCUGCAUCCUUAUGGAUACCAGAUUUGUUUCCACUGAGCCUCGAUGGGAACUCCCAUAAUUGACAAAUAUAAUUGCAUAUAUUUAAGGUGUAUACUGUGAUGAUUUGAUAUACAUUGUACAGUGAAUAUGAAGAUCAAGAAAUUAACACAUCUACAUCUCACAUUGCUAAUAUAGAUUGUGUGUGUGGUGAGAAUGCUUAAUUAAGAUCUAGUCUCAGUAAAUUUCAAGUAUACAACACUAUACUAACUGUAGUCACCAUGCUGACAUUAGAUCUUUAGACCUUUUCUUACAUCUGAAAAUGUGUACCAUUUGACUUACAUCACCCCAUUUCCCCUGCUCCCAAGAUGAUGGCAACCACCGUUCUAUUCUCUGCCUCUAUGAAAUUAGAUUUUUUUCCAUCCUGAUUCUACAUAUAAGUGAUACCACAUAGUAUUUCUCUUUCUGUCUAAUUUCACUUAGCAUAAUGCCCUCCAGAUUUAUUCAAGUUGUUGGGAUGAACCUGGUAUGUGUGUAUAUAUCUCUGUGUGUGUAUGUACAUAUAUGUGUGUUUGUAGUAAAUUUCCUUAUCUAUACAUCCGAUGAAGAACAUUUAGGUUGUUUCCAUAUCUUGGCUGUUGUAAAAAAUGCCGCAGUGGACAUGAGCAUGCAGGUAUCUCUUUGAGUACUGAUUCAGUUCCUUUGGAUAUAUAUUCAGGAGUGGAAUUGCUGGAUCAUAUGUCAGUUCUUUUUUUAAUCUUUUGAGGAACUGCCACACUGUUUUCCUUAAUGGCCAUGACAUUUUACAUUUGUAAGAGUUCCCUUUUUUCACACAAUCACCAACAUUUGUCAUCUCUUUUUGAUGAUGCCAUCCUGACAGGUGUGAGAUAUUUU
rnacentral:lncRNA from 1 species